rnacentral:lncRNA from 1 species
CCGGUUUCAAAAACAGAACAGAUUUUAUUUUACUUACACCAUUGAUGGUGGUGUAGCGUAGGCAGAAGAGCUGGCUUGUUCAGUUACAGUGCAUAAACAGCAAUAACAAAAGGGGUCUGUUGGUUCACGGGGUUCCUGAGCCGAGCCCUUGCUUUCUAGCCCGAAGGCUAGGUGCGGCUGCCCGACUCAAUAGUCCCAGAACUGGUCAACAGCUCAUACACGGGGAAACUGUAAUGCACUUUCGAUCGGAGAAGAACAGAUGAACCGGUGAUGAAUGAGGUGCGAUGAACGAUCGAUGAAGGGAACGAAGCCAAAGUCGGUAACGGUGGUGAAGAAACGUGAACUGGAACAUGAAGAACUGGUCGUAGUCAAUGCCGGAAGAAGGUUCAGUAACGGGCGAUCAAUACGAAGACGAGUGUUAGUUGAAGCAGAAGUAUGCCGUGAGUUCACAGCAGCGGGGAGACCAGCGGCGCUCUAGGCCUAAAAGGCUCUCCUCAGGCAGUCUCUGCGAUAGCAGUCUCUGCUCUCAGGUCGGGUCUGGUCUCCCCGUGGGCGGAAACUUACAAGCCUUUUGUAUUAACUGGAUAGCCAACCAGGUAACCUUUUCUGUGGAAAUUUCUAGUCAGAUUAUGUCAUGCUUUGAGCAAGACUGGGCAUGCGCAUGGUAACAAGUCAGGUUACCUCAUGGCAGAGCCAUGACUGACAAGCCUGGGGUCGUACAGGGGGCGCGUGCGGGGCAUGCUUGUCAGCCCUUUGGGGAUUUUCCAUAGCUUGUCUGCGCAUGUCAGUACUUAACCCUGUUUUAGCCGGCACUUAUCAAAUUUGGUUCUGACAAUGAGAAGCCUCAUGGGCGGUGGAUGACACCUCGGUGGAGUUUUUGUUUGAUACCGCCGACCUAAAUAAUCCCCCAAAUCACCACUACAAGCCCUCUGGCACAACUGCCAGGCAAAACAACAGUGGAGGCACUGCCGAUGACUUGCCAUGGUAACAAAAGAAGUGCGCAGAGGAUCUGAGGAAGAGGACCAGGCCCUACGCUACAGAGGAAGGCAGAGCUCCCUAAGGUCCUUGCCAAGCCGACCCUCCCUAAAUGUGGUGAUCAAUGUGAUGCUGAGUAGAAGAAGAAAGCACAAACUGGACAUGUACACACAGAGGGUUUGGAGCACUUUCUCAGGGAAGAGAGGAGACUUGUUAGUUCAUGCCUGCCG